rnacentral:rRNA from 1 species
UACGUAGGGUGCAAGCGUUAAUCGGAAUUACUGGGCGUAAAGCGUGCGCAGGCGGUUUUGUAAGCCAGAUGUGAAAUCCCCGGGCUUAACCUGGGAAUGGCAUUUGGGACUGCAAGGCUGGAGUGCGGCAGAGGGAGACUGGAAUUCCUGGUGUAGCAGUGAAAUGCGUAGAUAUCAGGAGGAAUACCGAUGGCGAAGGCAGGUCUCUGGGC